UACGAAGGGGGCUAGCGUUGCUCGGAAUCACUGGGCGUAAAGCGCACGUAGGCGGGUCGUUAAGUCAGGGGUGAAAUCCUGGAGCUCAACUCCAGAACUGCCCUUGAUACUGGCGAUCUCGAGUUCGGGAGAGGUGAGUGGAAUUCCCAGUGUAGAGGUGAAAUUCGUAGAUAUUGGGAAGAACACCGGUGGCGAAGGCGGCUCACUGGCUCAUUUCUGACGCUCAGGCGCGACAGCGUGGGGAUCAAACAGG
rnacentral:rRNA from 1 species